ACGAUGAGGAAAGGGCAAGGAAAAAGGUAAGAGGCAUGGUAUGGGGAAGAUGUUUGUUGGUACAGGGAUCUUAUCCGUAUUAAAUUUAUUUCAAUUUUCCAUCAAUUUUUCCAUAAAAAAUCAAAAUGCACAACUUGCAUAAGUACAUAUGUCGAACGAAGAGAAACAUGAAAGAAAAUAAAUGACUGAACGUAAAUUAUUGUAUAUGCUAACAAUAUGUACAUUUCCGAUAACAAUAAUUUCAACAAGAAUGCAUAAUAUAUAUUGAAAACUUUCAUCAGUAUGUAGAAUUUAUUUUAAUAAUAUUAAUCAAUUAUUCGUAUCUAUUAUGCAUAUAUAAGUGAUCAAUAAAUAUGUGAAUUUAUCCAGUUAGAAAAUUUUUUAUUUAAUCGUAUUCACCUAUUGCGAUAUCAACUAUCGAUAGAAAAGAAAUCGAAUCGUAUCAUCAUACUGUCGCAUUCACAAACAUUCGUAGGGAAACUUUCGAAGAAGUGAAUUCGAUUCGAUACCGAUAUCAAAACCCAUACACGUUUGACUCUUCUCACGGUUAUGUAUGUCGGUUUCUCUCUCACUCUCUCUCUCUCUCUCUCUCUCUCUCUCUCUCUGGUUAUCUCUUUUUCUUUCCCUUUUUACUUUAAAAUACUUGAAAAAGAGAAACGCUCAUCGCGAAGUGCAAUACAAACUGGACGAUUCGUGGGAGAUGUUACAAAGUGGCCGUAAAAAUUCCUAUCGCAUUGCCAAUAACAAGGGAGUACUUUUAGCCGAUUCGAGCCAACUCGCGACAAGAUUGAAUUGGUAAAAAUCCAUAAAGCUUUUGCCGUGGUACGCGGAUUGUGGAAAUGGGGACGUUUUGUGAGAAAAAGGACUGUGAAUUCUGAGCAUGGUUUUUACACAUGUACUUUUACUGUACAUAAUACGUCGAUCUUCACGAUUUCACUCUUCUUUCUGUCUCUCAUUCUCUCUCUCUCUCUCUCUCUCUCUCUCUCUUUCUCUCUUCUUUUUCUCCCUCACUGAUCACCAUUAUCCAUUAAAGUACGUGAAACGAAUUAUUAAAGGAACCAUUUGCUCUUCGAUGAUAAAAAAAUCAAUUGGGAAAAUAUCUCUCCUUUAAAUCAUUCAGUUUAACGAGGAUCAACCUAAUAAAUGAUAUAAAUAAAUCAUUCGAUAAAGAGAAAAAAAAAAAAAAAAAGAACACGAAAGAAUUAAAGAAACGUCGCAUGUUUAUACAAAAAUUUCCUUUUAUAUUAAAGAUUCAUGAAUUUAUAAAUCUGUACGGUACUAUCUGAACAAGUUUGAGAAAUGUCUUAAAUUAUUCAAAAAAAAUGUUUGACGGAUGAAAUCACUUAUCAGCCGAGAUUAAUCAAUAAUCUUAUGGUUAACGAGACGCAAAGGGUCGAUAAGCUGUAUCAUGGUGGAAUCGUCGGACGGACUAUCUCGUUGAUUGGAACGGCGGUGUGUAAGAAAAUUCAACGAUUUUAUCGGCUUUCGGGCGAGCCCGUGCGACAUUGUUCGAUCUUUACGACACUGCCGUACGCCGGCCGAUCGCGGAUUCUCCGGAGCAACGAGAUUGCCGUGGACUCAUUUAACGUCUACCCAAUCUUGGCGGUCGGCUAUAGCGAGCGUCGUUUUUAGAUUUAACCUACCCAAAUAUGCAAAUCGGCAUCGCGCGCGGAGAACUUCGCAGAGAAAGAGAGAGAAAGCGAGCGAUCGGAAGAGCGAGAGAGAGAGAGAGAGAGAGACAGAGAUUCCUGAACGAGUAUGGCCGAUUCGGUUGGUUCGCAAAGAGGGAGAAUAUAAUCCUUGCCUAUGGGAGCUUGUGGGCGGCCAAAAUGAAUCAGCAAAAAGGACAUCGGAAACCAGUCCUGCGUGUGCGCGCGCAUUACGUACAAUUCUUGUUUUUCCUGUCUCUCUCUUUCUCUCUCUCUCUUUAUAUUUUUGUCUUUAUCAUACUUUCGUGACCCAGGAUGCUGAUCGAUAUCCAUGAAAAAGAAGGAAAACGAGAGGGUGCCAUACGAUGUCACGUUUAUGGAUUAGAUUAUGAAUUAGGGUAGUGGUCCUAAACAUAGGAAAUGUUCAAAGUAUGCUAUUGAUACUUUAUUAUGGUCGUUUUCGUAAGGGCGGGGGAGUCUGUAAAAAAAAAAAAAAGAAAGUAAGUAAAAGAAGAAAGAGAGAGAGAGAGAAAGAGAGAGAGAGAGAGAGAGAGAGAGAGAGAGAGAGAAAAGAAGAAUAAAUAAAUAAAAAAGGUAAAAUUUACGAUCGCGGUUGUUUCGAACGAGAUAUCUUCUCGCGUGUUAUCGAGAAAUAACGUAGUUACUUAGUUACUUACUUCGAAGUUGAAACGUGUUAGUUAUUUCGUCUUUUUCCUCCCUUCCCCCUAACCACCCCCCCUCCUCUACCAAUAAGGGACUCAGAAAUAGCGAAAGCGGCUCACUUUACGUAAACGGAUAUUUUCGAUCAAUGGAUUAUCGUUGAUAAUUAAUACCGAUAUAAUCUUAUCGCGAUAAGUAAACGUUGCAUAGAGUAAUGUCGGAACGUUAAAAAUGGAUAUUUCGAAACGAAAAUGCAAAUUAACGAUACUUGGGUUGGUAGAUCAGAAACUAUUGGGAUAAAACGUAUCUUUCCUCUUGGGUAUCGUGUUCGACUCGUCGGUUUUGAUAUCGACUAUUUCGGUCUUCCAGACAUUUAUAACGCUUGAAGAAUUUUGAAAAAUCAGCGUCACACUUAAGGAAAUACGCAUUACGAUACCUAAUAAUCGGUUUUGCUGGCUGAAAGCAUGAUGGCCGAACGAGGCGGAGCUCUUCGCGAAUAUUUUUGUCGGUGUGGGCAAAGCGAGCAAAAGAGAUAUCGAGCGAAGAUGAAAAGAGAAAGAAAGAAUGAGAGAAAAUGAGAGAGAGAGAGAGAGAGAGAGAGAGAGAAAGCAAAGUCUGAGAGACCUGAGUAGAACGAAAAGGGAGAAGAAGCAGGCAAUAACGAUCGUUCCUCGAUUCGACGAAAAAGAGAAUCCGGCGUUCCAAUUCCAGUCGUCCUCUCCUUCCUGCUUUAAUUAAAAUCAGAAGUUGACGACCGGUCGCGGCUUCCCUUUUUACCAAGCAGACCGCGAGAGACAUCGCGUUCCCUCCUUUUUACCGAACGAAAUUGUUUUUAUGAGUCUCAAGUAGCGAGUGAAUUCUUUUACGGGGGUCCUCAAGAAGAACGGGCCGGAUAUGAUUCCCUUUAGACUCCCACGCGUUCGCGCGAGCCGUACGUUUAUGAAGUUAUACAAUUUUUCUUCCCGCGGGACAGCACUGCGGGGGAGGGAAGAACGUGGAUACGCGUAGCUAUCUUAUGGAUUUCGAAACAAACUGAAGGAAUAAUAAAAAGACGAGGAACGUUCGUUCGUUCCGUUUGAGAGUCCUUCUACAUGAAAAAAAAAAAAAAAAGAAAAAGAAAA